rnacentral:rRNA from 1 species
GCCCGCUCAAGAACUCAAAGGAUUGACGGGGCCCGCACAAGCGGUGGAGCAUGUGGUUUAAUUCGACGCAACGCGAAGAACCUUACCUGGUCUUGACAUCCCGGAGACCCUUAGGAAACUAGGGGGUGCUUCCAUCUGGAAGAAUCUGGAGACAGGUGCUGCAUGGCUGUCGUCAGCUCGUGUCGUGAGAUGUUGGGUUAAGUCCCGCAACGAGCGCAACCCUUGCCUUUAGUUGCCAGCAGUUCGGCUGGGCACUCUAAAGGGACUGCCGGUGUUAAACCGGAGGAAGGUGGGGAUGACGUCAAGUCCUCAUGGCCUUUAUGACCAGGGCUACACACGUACUACAAUGGCCGAUACAAAGGGCAGCGACACUGCGAGGUGAAGCCAAUCCCGUAAAAUCGGUCUCAGUCCGGAUUGGAGUCUGCAACUCGACUCCAUGAAGUUGGAAUCGCUAGUAAUCGUGGAUCAGCAUGCCACGGUGAAUACGUUCCCGGGCCUU